rnacentral:rRNA from 1 species
AGUGAACGCUGGCGGUAGGCCUAACACAUGCAAGUCGAACGGCAGCACAGUAAGAGCUUGCUCUUACGGGUGGCGAGUGGCGGACGGGUGAGGAAUACAUCGGAAUCUACUUUUUCGUGGGGGAUAACGUAGGGAAACUUACGCUAAUACCGCAUACGACCUACGGGUGAAAGCAGGGGAUCUUCGGACCUUGCGCGAUUGAAUGAGCCGAUGUCGGAUUAGCUAGUUGGCGGGGUAAAGGCCCACCAAGGCGACGAUCCGUAGCUGGUCUGAGAGGAGGAUGAGCCACACUGGAACUGAGACACGGUCCAGACUCCUACGGGAGGCAGCAGUGGGGAAUAUUGGACAAUGGGCGCAAGCCUGAUCCAGCCAUACAGCGUGGGUGAAGAAGGCCUUCGGGUGGUAAAGCCCUUUUGUGGGGAAAGAAAAGCAGCAGGUUAAUACCCCGCUGUUCUGACGGUACCCAAAGAAUAAGCACCGGCUAACUUCGU